UACGAAGGGGGCUAGCGUUGCUCGGAAUCACUGGGUGUAAAGCGCACGUAGGCGGAUUGUUAAGUCAGGGGUGAAAUCCUGGAGCUCAACUCCAGAACUGCCUUUGAUACUGGCGAUCUCGAGUCCGGGAGAGGUGAGUGGAACUGCGAGUGUAGAGGUGAAAUUCGUAGAUAUUCGCAAGAACACCAGUGGCGAAGGCGGCUCACUGGCCCGGUACUGACGCUGAGGUGCGAAAGCGUGGGGAGCAAACAGG
rnacentral:rRNA from 1 species